GGAAGACUGCUCUCCUGGCCUCCUGGAAGUCAUAUGGGAAACAGAUAGGCAGCAAGGAACAACAGAGAUUUAGGGUUCACUGUGAGCCAGUUCCCCAACACCCAGGACAGCUUCCCAGGGAAGACGGAGUCUCGUCUGCCUGUGCUCCACUUGUACAGCAGGGCAACAUCAAACAGAAGGAAACAGAAGACAGAAGACCCAGAGCAACAGGAAUGUGCCUUUGAAGCCCUAAGCUGCCAUAUAUAUGGCUACUGUGAACACGCUGGCUACUGUGCUACAAAGAUCACACGGAGAGAACAGAUACAGAGAAACAGAGAGAGAUUCCUGGGGAACCCUAGCUGCUUCAGUUCCUAGCUUUUGAGGCAUCCCAAACCAGAGGCCAGAUGCGUGAAUGAAUGAGCUCUUGGAUGAUGGCAGCUGCAACCUUUUAGUCUUCUAGCUGAGGCCCCACACACUGUAAAACAGAGAGAAAAAAAAACCCAGUGUCUUGUCUGAAUUUCUGAAACACGAAAUUUAUGAGCAUAAUAAAUGGUUGUUUUACACC
rnacentral:lncRNA from 1 species